rnacentral:tRNA from 1 species
GGGGAUUUAGCUCAGCGGCAUAAGCGCCUGCCUUGAAAGCAGGCAGUCGUGAGCGCGAUCCCCG